UACGGGGGGGGCAAGCGUUGUUCGGAAUUACUGGGCGUAAAGGGCGCGUAGGCGGUUUGCUAAGUUGGACGUGAAAACUCUGGGCUUAACCCAGAGCCUGCAUCCAAAACUGGCAAGCUAGAGUUUUGGAGGGGGAAGCGGAAUUCCUGGUGUAGCAGUGAAAUGCGUAGAUAUCAGGAGGAACACCGGUGGCGAAGGCGGCUUCCUGGACAAAAACUGACGCUGAGGCGCGAAAGCUAGGGGAGCAAACGGG
rnacentral:rRNA from 1 species